rnacentral:rRNA from 1 species
CAGGACUUGACAUCCCUCUGACCGGCGUGUAACGGCGCCCUCCCUUCGGGGCAGAGGAGACAGGUGGUGCAUGGUUGUCGUCAGCUCGUGUCGUGAGAUGUUGGGUUAAGUCCCGCAACGAGCGCAACCCUUGUCAUUAGUUGCCAGCAGGUUAAGCUGGGCACUCUAGUGAGACUGCCGGGGACAACUCGGAGGAAGGUGGGGAUGACGUCAAAUCAUCAUGCCCCUUAUGUUCUGGGCUACACACGUGCUACAAUGGCCGGUACAGAGAGACGCAAUGUCGUGAGGCGGAGCAAAACUCUAAAACCGGUCCCAGUUCGGAUUGCAGGCUGAAACUCGCCUGCAUGAAGUCGGAGUUGCUAGUAAUCGCGAAUCAGAAUGUCGCGGUGAAUGCGUUCCC